GUCAGGCAGAGUGGCAUACCUGUAGUUCCAGUUACUUGGGAGGCUGAGGUGUGAGGAUCGCUUGAGUUCAGGAGUUCUGGGCUGUAGUGUGCUAUGCCUACCUGGUGUCCACGCUAACUUCAUCAUCAAUAUGGUGACCUUCUGGGGGUGGGGAGCCAUCAGGUUGCCUAAGGAGGGGUGAACCAGCCCAGGUAGGAAAUGGAAUAGGUAAAAAAUUCCCGUGCUGAUCUUUGUGGUAUCACACCUGUGAAUAGCCACUGCACUCCAGCCUAGGCAUCAUAACAUCUCUUU
ensembl:misc_RNA Metazoa_SRP Metazoan signal recognition particle RNA